rnacentral:rRNA from 1 species
AAAAAAAAGAGCCCACUCCCCCGGUCCGUUCCUCUCUCCCUCUCCCUCCCAAUCUCCCAUCUCGUCAUUGCGGAGGCAGCGACAGCGGCAGCGACGUCACCGGAGGGACGACCCGGCGGCGAGGACUACCUCUAUGGCGAGCGGAGUACUUCCUUUCCUCUCUCAUGCGGUAGGGAUUCAGAGGCGCCGUGGGUGGUGUAAGAUCCGGGCGAGCUCGGCAGCGACAAUGGCCUUCUCCGGCGUCCCUCUCCACCGGCGGCUGUAUUAUCGCCAGUAAGACCCCCCCAUCCUCCUCAACUUCCCCUAUCCUCUUCCAUGAAUUUUGAAUUUCUAGGUUUAGGGUUAUUGUUUUUUGGGAGCGGUGCAGGGGAAGAGGAAGAAAGACCAAGAAAUGAAAGGAUAGAAAAAUGAGGAGCUCAGGUGAUGGAGGUAAUGCUGGAGACGGGCUCCUGGCUGUGGGAUCAGAGGUGUAGAUCAUAGCGGAGGAGAUGAGCCAUGUGGAUGGCAUAGAAGAGGGGAGCUCAAGGCUGCGGAGACGAAGGAACAACAGUAGAGUAUCAGGCGCUUCGAUCUAGCUGAGAUCUUUUUUUGUUUGUCACGGCAAACGAGGAAUUGGAAUUCUGCCAAGAAAUCUAGGAGUGGAACAAUAUGUAUGCAAGGGACUUGGAGACGAGGCAAUGGUGCGCUGGCGAGAACACUAUUGUUCUGAUGCAUUAGGAUUGGGGUUCGGCUGCUCUUCAGUUUGUUAUAUCAAGGUUUUGAAGCUUUGGGAGCCUGCGGCCGGUUCGACGGGUGACAUCAGCAAGCGCCGGCCAGCCUCGGCACAGCUGCGGGUGGUUAUAUGGUGGGCGGAGUACACGAGUGGGUUCCGAUGUCAGGGUACGGUGGCAAGCUAAAUCCUGAGUCCAGCUAGGC